ACUAGCGCCAUGAGUAGCGCACUUGAUGACUCAAAGACAACAGACGCAAGUAUGGACCACGAACUUUACACUGUACAGAGUCCCUCUGAGGACAUUAAGGAUGGCCCAGAUCAUGCAGAAUUCAUUUAUAAAAUGUCAAAUGAAGAAUUCGUUAGAUUCGUGAAGUUGCGCGUGACCAACGACUCACUUUUCACUGGAAAGAGAAAUUCUUCAACUCUGGCUUAUAGGGCCAUCUUGAAAGAGCUGGGUCUGCAAAGGGAAAUUUCUGCCAGCCAGGCCAGGAGGAAAUGGGAAAACCUUAAGAUGAAGUAUAAGGUAUGUUAAUGCCAUGUUGUGAGUGUCCCCAGCACAGCCCCCCAGCAUUGCACAUUUUGGAUAUUGCCCAUAUUUAGCACACCUCAUUCAACUUAUAAGUUCAGGACUCCAUGAACCUUUCAGUCUUCCGAUAGUGUCCUGUAAAGGUUUUAAUAUAGAAUUAAUAAAAUGUUACUUAUUAUUAGAUAUUACAUAUUUUAAUAUAUAUCAUAGCAUAUUACAGAUACAUUUAUGCAUUUGAAUGUUUGCAA
ensembl:lncRNA